rnacentral:rRNA from 1 species
GUCGACUUGGAGGUUGUGCCCUUGAGGCGUGGCUUCCGGAGCUAACGCGUUAAGUCGACCGCCUGGGGAGUACGGCCGCAAGGUUAAAACUCAAAUGAAUUGACGGGGGCCCGCACAAGCGGUGGAGCAUGUGGUUUAAUUCGAUGCAACGCGAAGAACCUUACCUACUCUUGACAUCCAGAGAACUUUCCAGAGAUGGAUUGGUGCCUUCGGGAACUCUGAGACAGGUGCUGCAUGGCUGUCGUCGGCUCGUGUUGUGAAAUGUUGGGUUAAGUCCCGCAACGAGCGCAACCCUUAUCCUUUGUUGCCAGCGGUUAGGCCGGGAACUCAAAGGAGACUGCCAGUGAUAAACUGGAGGAAGGUGGGGAUGACGUCAAGUCAUCAUGGCCCUUACGAGUAGGGCUACACACGUGCUACAAUGGCGCAUACAAAGAGAAGCGACCUCGCGAGAGCAAGCGGACCUCAUAAAGUGCGUCGUAGUCCGGAUUGGAGUCUGCAACUCGACUCCAUGAAGUCGGAAUCGCUAGUAAUCGUAGAUCAGAAUGCUACGGUGAAUACGUUCCCGGGCCUUGUACACACCGCCCGUCACACCAUGGGAGUGGGUUGCAAAAGAAGUAGGUAGCUUAACCUUCGGGAGGGCGCUUACCACUUUGUGAUUCAUGACUGGGGUGAAGUCGUAACAAGGUAACCAAGGGCGAAUUCCAG